GUGUGGUAGGGGCAGAGGGAAUUCCCGGUGUAGCGGUGAAAUGCGUAGAUAUCGGGAAGAACACUAUUGGCGAAGGCGCUCUGCUGGGCCAUAACUGACGAUCAUGGACGAAAGCCAGGGAGCGAAAGGGAUUAGAUACCCCUGUAGUCCUGGCCGUAAACGAUGAACACUAGGUGUCGGGGGAAUCGACCCCCUCGGUGUCGUAGCCAACGCGUUAAGUGUUCCGCCUGGGGAAUACGCACGCAAGUGUGAAACUCAAAGGAAUUGACGGGGGCCCGCACAAGCGGUGGAGUAUGUGGUUUAAUUCGAUGCAACGCGAAGAACCUUACCAGGGUUUGACAUCCUGCGAAUCCCUUGGAAACGAGGGAGUGCCUUCGGGAGCGCAGUGACAGGUGGUGCAUGGCUGUCGUCAGCUCGUGUCGUGAGUUGUUGGGUUAUGUCCCGCAACGAGCGCAACCCACGUUUUUAGUUGCCAGCAUUUAGUUGGGCACUCUAGAAAGACUGCCGGUGAUAAACCGGAGGAAGGUGUGGAUGACGUCAAGUCAUCAUGCCCCUUACAACCUGGGCUACACACGUACUACAAUGCUACGGACAAAGGGCAGCAAACUCGCGAGAGCUAGCCAAUCCCAUAAACCGUGGCUCAGUUCAGAUCGUAGGCUGCAACUCGCCUACGUGAAGGCGGAAUCGCUAGUAAUCGCAGGUCAGCAUACUGCGGUGAAUACGUUCCCGGGCCUUGUACACACCGCCCGUCACACCAUGGAAGUUGGCCACGCCCGAAGUCGUUACUCCAACCCUUGUGGAGGAGGACGCAGAAGGUGGGGCUGAUGACUGGGGUGAAGUCGUAACAAGGUAGCCGUACCGGAAGGUGCGGCUGGAUCACCUCCUAA
rnacentral:rRNA from 1 species